rnacentral:rRNA from 2 species
UACGGAGGGUGCAAGCGUUAUCCGGAUUCACUGGGUUUAAAGGGUGCGUAGGAGGGCAGGUAAGUCAGUGGUGAAAUCUCCAAGCUUAACUUGGAAACUGCCGUUGAUACUAUCUGUCUUGAAUAUUGUGGAGGUGAGCGGAAUAUGUCAUGUAGCGGUGAAAUGCUUAGAUAUGACAUAGAACACCAAUUGCGAAGGCAGCUCACUACUCAAUCAUUGACUCUGAGGCACGAAAGCGUGGGGAUCAAACAGG